GAUGAACGCUGGCGGCGUGCCUAAUACAUGCAAGUCGAGCGAACAGACGAGGAGCUUGCUCCUCUGACGUUAGCGGCGGACGGGUGAGUAACACGUGGAUAACCUACCUAUAAGACUGGGAUAACUUCGGGAAACCGGAGCUAAUACCGGAUAAUAUAUUGAACCGCAUGGUUCAAUAGUUCAAGACGGUUUUGCUGUCACUUAUAGAUGGAUCCGCGCCGCAUUAUCUAGUUGGUAAGGUAACGGCUUACCAAGGCAACGAUGCGUAUCCGACCUGAGAGGGUGAUCGGCCACACUGGAACUGAGACACGGUCCAGACUCCUACGGGAGGCAGCAGUAGGGAAUCUUCCGCAAUGGGCGAAAGCCUGACGGAGCAACGCCGCGUGAGUGAUGAAGGUCUUCGGAUCGUAAAACUCUGUUAUUAGGGAAGAACAAAUGUGUAAGUAACUAUGCACGUCUUGACGGUACCUAAUCAGAAAGCCACGGCUAACUACGUG
rnacentral:rRNA from 1 species